rnacentral:rRNA from 1 species
AGCGUAGGCUGCGCGGUAAGUCAGAUGUGAAAUCUCAGGGCUCAACCCUGAAACUGCAUCCGAUACUGCCGCGCUAGAGUAAUGGAGGGGUAAGUGGAAUUCUCAGUGUAGCAGUGAAAUGCGUAGAUAUUGAGAGGAAGACCAACGGCGAAGGCAGCUUACUGGACAUUUACUGACGCUGAGGCUCGAAGGCUAGGGUAGCGAAAG